rnacentral:rRNA from 1 species
AGUGAACGCUGGCGGCAGGCCUAACACAUGCAAGUCGAGCGGCAGCGCGGGGGCAACCCUGGCGGCGCGCGGCGGACGGGUGAGGAAUUCGUCGGAAUCUGCCUUUUUGUGGGGGAUAACGUAGGGAAACUUACGCUAAUACCGCAUACGUCCUACGGGAGAAAGUGGGGGACCGCAAGGCCUCACGCAGAAAGAUGAGCCGACGCCCGAUUAGCUAGUUGGUGGGGUAAAGGCCCACCAAGGCGACGAUCGGUAGCUGGUCUGAGAGGAUGAUCAGCCACACUGGGACUGAGACACGGCCCAGACUCCUACGGGAGGCAGCAGUGGGGAAUAUUGGACAAUGGGCGCAAGCCUGAUCCAGCCAUGCCGCGUGUGUGAAGAAGGCCUUCGGGUUGUAAAGCACUUUUGUCCGGAAAGAAAUCCCUGGAGCUAAUACCUUCGGGGGAUGACGGUACCGGAAGAAUAAGCACCGGCUAACUUCGUG